GGACUUUGAAAAGAGAGUCAAAGAGUG
rnacentral:snRNA from 1 species